AUUGAACGCUGGCGGCAUGCUUUACACAUGCAAGUCGAACGGCAGCGCGGGCUUCGGCCUGGCGGCGAGUGGCGAACGGGUGAGUAAUGCAUCGGAACGUGCCCAGUAGUGGGGGAUAGCCCGGCGAAAGCCGGAUUAAUACCGCAUACGACCUGAGGGGGAAAGCGGGGGACCGAAAGGCCUCGCGCUAUUGGAGCGGCCGAUGUCGGAUUAGCUAGUUGGUGGGGCAAAGGCUUACCAAGGCGACGAUCCGUAGCUGGUCUGAGAGGACGACCAGCCACACUGGGACUGAGACACGGCCCAGACUCCUACGGGAGGCAGCAGUGGGGAAUUUUGGACAAUGGGGGCAACCCUGAUCCAGCCAUGCCGCGUGAGGGAAGAAGGCCUUCGGGUUGUAAACCGCUUUUGUUCGGGAAGAAAUCCUCUGGGCUAAUACCCCGGGGGGAUGACGGUACCGGAAGAAUAAGCACCGGCUAACUACGUG
rnacentral:rRNA from 1 species